GCAGUCGUGGCCGAGUGGUUAAGGCGAUGGACUAGAAGAAAUCCAUUGGGGUCUCCCCGCACAGGUCCAAAUCCUGUCGACUGCG
rnacentral:tRNA from 2 species